rnacentral:rRNA from 1 species
ACGCUAUCACUCCUACGGGAGGCAGCAGUGGGGAAUCUUAGACAAUGGGGGAAACCCUGAUCUAGCCAUGCCGCGUGAGUGAUGAAGGCCUUAGGGUCGUAAAGCUCUUUCGCCAGGGAUGAUAAUGACAGUACCUGGUAAAGAAACCCCGGCUAACUCCGUGCCAGCACGCCGGCGAUGAUACGGAGGGGUUAGCGUUGUUCGGAAUUACUGGGCGUAAAGCGCGCGUAGGCGGACUAGAAAGUUGGGGGUGAAAUCCCGGGGCUCAACCUCGGAACUGCCUUCAAAACUCCUAGUCUAGAGUUCGAGAGAGGUGAGUGGAAUUCCAAGUGUAGAGGUGAAAUUCGUAGAUAUUUGGAGGAACACCAGUGGCGAAGGCGGCUCACUGGCUCGAUACUGACGCUGAGGUGCGAAAGUGUGGGGAGCAAACAGGAUUAGAUACCCUGGUAG